rfam:Candida albicans SC5314 chromosome 3 sequence.
GGACGGUUGAUGUAGUGGUAACAUAUGAGCCUUCCAAGCUCAAUACACGGGUUCGAUUCCCGUACCGUUCA